rnacentral:rRNA from 1 species
CCUACGGGUGGCAGCAGUGGGGAAUAUUGCACAAUGGGGGAAACCCUGAUGCAGCAACGCCGCGUGAAGGAAGACGGUUCUCGGAUUGUAAACUUCUGUUCUUAGUGAAGCAUAAUGACGGUAGCUAAGGAGCAAGCCACGGCUAACUACGUGCCAGCAGCCGCGGUAAUACGUCGGUGGCAAGCGUUGUACGGAAUUACUGGGUGUAAAGGGAGCGCAGGCGGGAAGACAAGUACGGUGUGAAAACUACGGGCUUAACUUGUAGACUGCAGUUGAAACUGGUUUUCUUGAGUGAAGGAGAGGUAGGCGGAAUGCCGGGUGUAGCGGUGAAAUGCGUAGAUAUUCGGAGGAACACCGGUGGCGAAGGCGGCCAACUGGGCUUUAACUGACGCUGAGGCACGAAAGUGUGGGGAGCAAACAGGAUUAGAUACCCGUGUAGUC